rnacentral:rRNA from 1 species
GACGAACGCUGGCGGCGUGCUUAACACAUGCAAGUCGAACGGAAAGGCCUGCUUUUCCUUGUGGAUUGCGGGUACUCGAGUGGCGAACGGGUGAGUAACACGGUAGUGAUCUGCCCCCAACUUGGGUAUAAGCCUGGGAAACUGGGUCUAAUUCCCGAUAGGACUGCAGGGUGGUGCGUGUGGUGGAAAACGAUUUUCAAUUGGUUGGGGAUGAGCUCGCGGCCUAUCGGUUUGUUGGUGGGGGAAUGGCCUACCAAGGCGGCGACGGGUAGCCGGCCUGGGAGGGUGGACGGCCAGAUUGGGACUGGGAUACGGCCCAGACUGGUACGAGAGGGAGCAGUGGGGAAUAUUGCACAAUGAGCGGAAGCGUGAUGCAGCGACGCCGGGUGGGAGGUGACGGGCUUCGGGUUGUAAACUCCUUUCGACCGCGAGGAAGCCACCUGGUUGGAAGGGUGGUGACGGUAGUGGUAGAAGAAGCACCGGCUAACUACGUGC